UCGAGGUGACGAUAAAAACUUCACUUAAUCCAUUGAAAUUUAUGAUGUUACUGUGAUAUCUCGACAUGUUUUGAUCGG
rfam:Arabis alpina cultivar Pajares Aa.chr8_contig_2362, whole genome shotgun sequence.